GGAUAACGUUGGGUGGUGAGUGCUGUCCCAUCACACCAUAUCUAUGGGAAUGAGCCAAGGCAUCAGGUGGUGUGACUGUCUCACUCGCCCAACGUUCACCUGAAGCACUCUUACCAUAGCGAGACGCUGCUCUAAAUUCUCGCACUGUCAGUGAGAGAUCAGUAGUGAGGCAUCGCUCGGUGGGUGACGGAUGGUGUCAAAGACAGCUUCUCGUGAGAUUGUUGACUACAAAAAUAGCCCUGGCUUACGCCUCAGAGGGCUUGCAAUGCCCUAUAAGUCUGUUUGAACUCUCAAUCUGGCGGCACCCAUUCACUGCAGAGGAUCCAUUGGAGGGCAAGUGAUAUAAUGCUAAAUUUCUACAAAUCUGUUGUGUUGAAGAGACAAGCUCAUCUACAAUCUGGACAGCUUGCAAGAGUGCAGAAGAAUAUGGCCUGAUAUGGAUCACCUCAGAUUUAAUAUCUGUGGCGACUGUCAUCAGCAUCUUCAUUUUUCAGAAGUGGAAGAUGAGUGGUAUGCACAGCUACAACCCUGAGCAGAUCAUGCUAAGCGCUGUAGUACGUCGGCCGAGUCGUGACGUCAACCUCAUGAAGGAGAAACUGAUCUUCUCAGGUGAGACUGAGCACACAGCUGUGUGGAGAUAAAGCCUGGUUAAUGGA